CCUACGGGAGGCAGCAGUGAGGAAUAUUGGGCAAUGGACGCAAGUCUGAACCAGCCAUGCCGCGUGCAGGAAGACGGCUCUAUGAGUUGUAAACUGCUUUUGUACGAGGGUAAAAGCAGAUACGCGUAGCGGUCUGAAAGUAUCGUACGAAUAAGGAACGGCUAACUCCGUGCCAGCAGCCGCGGUAAUACGGAGGAUUCAAGCGUUAUACGGAUUGAUUGGGUUUAACGGGUGCGUAGGCGGUCGGAUAAGGUAGAGGUGAAAUCCCGAGGCUCAACUUCGGACUUGCCUCUGAUACUGUUCGGCUAGAGUGUAGUUGCGGUAGUCGGAAUGUCUGGUGUAGCGGU
rnacentral:rRNA from 1 species